rnacentral:rRNA from 1 species
AGCAGCCGCGGUAAUUCCAGCUCCAAUAGCGUAUAUUAAAGUUGUUGCAGUUAAAAAGCUCGUAGUUGAAUUUCGGGGUCAGUAGGUUGGUCGUGCCACAGGUAUGUACUGGCUUCACUGAUUCCUCCUUCUUGAAGAACUGUGAUGCCAUUAAUUUGGUGUUGCAGGGAAACAGGACUGUUACUUUGAAAAAAUUAGAGUGUUUAAAGCAGGCUAACGCUUGAAUACAUUAGCAUGGAAUAAUGAAAUAGGACGUGGAUCCUAUUUUGUUGGUUUCUAGGAUUAACGUAAUGAUUAAUAGGGAUAGUUGGGGGCAUUAGUAUUCAAUUGUCAGAGGUGAAAUUCUUGGAUUUAUUGAAGACUAACUACUGCGAAAGCAUUUGCCAAGGAUGUUUUCAUUAAUCAAGAACGAAAGUUAGGGGAUCGAAGACGAUCAGAUACCGUCGUAGUCUUAACCAUAAACUAUGCCGACUAGGGAUCGGAUGAUGUUAAUUUUUUAAUGACUCGUUCGGCGCCUUAC